ACAAGCUCGCCCUAGAUGGUCCUGAGAGGUCAGGUUCAAGGCCCGGUGGCUUGAUCUGUGGCUGGAGGACCCCUCUGCUCGGGUGGUCGUUUGCAAAAAGCUCCAUGCUGCCUAUCAACAAGCAUGAUGGCCGUGUGGGCUACUAGAUGUUCUUGAGGUUGCAGUAUGAACAAUACAUGAGCUGGAAUACUCUGUACUGACAAUUCCCAAGCAAACAUGGACAAGAUGGAAAAUGAAAGAUUACUUCACACUUCAUAAAACUGAAAACAUCUGGCUCCUUGACUGCAACAUGCUCCGCUAUGAUCACCAGCUAGUCAUGCAGCAUACAGUAGGUUCAUCAGAGCUUUUUCACUGGAGAUAAUUACCUGCUUUGGCUGGACAGUAAAGUGGCCGUCCAGAAAACUAAAACAAAGAACUGAAAGAUGCUGAAACGCUCUGUAGAGCUGAGAGAAUUAGCAAUUGGGUGAUAAUUCGCUGUGGGUUCAUCACUAUGAGUAACCUGUCCAUGUUACACAUAAUAAUUUGUAUCCUUUGCAAUAAUAAAGAAAGAGAGGGGAGAUAAAAGACUUGAAAAAAGAUUUCUUUGGCUCAGAGUUGAACAGAUUCAAGGUAUUUUAUCACCCUGGAAUCAAUGUUACUCACAGUGAUCAUGAAUUUUGUGGUCCAUACAGUGAUAAUAUGACAUCAGGCAUUUACCAAAGUAUGUGGUCUGAGUCAUAAUGUGCUGCUGCUUUUGAGCCCCCCCCCCCCCCCCAAAAAAAGGCCAACUCAGUCUUUAACUCUGAGCAGUUAAAGAAAAUGUACGACGUUUGUGUCUGUUUGCCUUUAUGCCUGUAUGUGUGUCUCUGUGUGUGUGUGCGCGUGGCAGCUGCUGAUCAGCCCAGCCAAAAAAGAAUUACAGCCCUCCCGAGGGGGACGAGAGAGGCCAACAAGGGACAGGCCCAGCUGUCCCUCCUCCGCCGUUGAUCCACUCCGAUGCCUCUGGGCCACUAAACUGGCUCCAUUCAUGUGCUAAAGUGACAGCUGCUCCUCACAUUCCACAGAAAAUUAACCGCAGACGCCGGAAAAACAAGCCAGGAAGCAAAUAAAUAAUAUUUGACAGAUUUCUUUUGUCUUCUCCUUGAAGGGAUGUAUUGGUGAUUAAAGAGUGGAUCGGAAGGAUUAUUUCAAGCCUGUGUGAUAAUAGUCAAAGAAGCGGAAGAUGGGGGUACAGAUAGUAUUUGCUGUGUUGGCGCUUAGUCAUGUAGGGGAUGUGAGGCAAAUGAACUCAGCAACUUUACUGUAGAAAUGAAAGCUGUCAAACAUGUAGUCUGUGUUAUUGCUAAAUCUAAUUGAGUUUACAGUAAUGAGCUGCUGCGGGGUGAAAUAUCUUGUCAUAUGUUUAACUUUUACCAAGGAUAUAAGCGUAUCACAUUUGAUAUCACUCCUAAAAUCAGCUCAAUUCAGUUUAAUUUUAUUUGUAAGGCCAAGUCACAAUGUAUAUUAUCUCAAGGUUGAGACCUUACUGUACUGUAGAGAGAAACACAACAGGUUAAAGAGUGAUGUGUUAUUUUAUUGUAUCCGACUGUAAUUAAAAAAUGAAGGUUGAUUUAUUUGAUCAGGAAAGGACUUUGGCUUGCCCUUUCAAAGGUACCGCUGGCACUAAAUAGAAAAAUUCAUUCAUUUUUUCGCAAGUGCAAUUAUAUGUACAAAUUGUGGUAUCUGGAAGAAAUGUAGCACUUUUAGCUUUAGUUGUUAGGAUGUUGAACUGCAAUCUGGACUGCAAACAAAACCCAUUUGUAUUUGUCUUGAUUAGAGAAAGACAAAUGCAAAUAGAAUGAGACACAUGCAAAUUAUCUUUGAUGCAGCACAGGCACAUGCUCCGUGCAACCAGUUGCUGACAAAAGCUGAAAACCUCUCUUUGGAGUCAGAUAUUUAAUCAUCAUUUAUGGCAAAAGGAACAACACAAUGAACAAUACUACCAGUCCAAAUCUGUAUCAUCAUUAAAGCAAACUGUAUUGUUUUAUUACAUCUGCAAUAAAGUAAUCAAAGUUGUUUUA